GAACGAGAAAGUGGAGCAAUCCAUGAGUACAGUGGCGACCGGGUGAGUAACACGUGACUACCUACCUCCGAGUGGGGAAUAACUCCGGGAAACCGGGGCUAAUACCGCAUAAUGUCUUCGGACCAAAGGAGCAAUUCGCUGGAAGAGGGGGUCGCGGCCGAUUAGCUAGUUGGUGGGGUAACGGGCCACCAAGGCAAUGAUCGGUAGCCGGCCUGAGAGGGCGCACGGCCACACUGGAACUGAAACACGGUCCAGACUCCUACGGGAGGCAGCAGUGGGGAAUUUUGCGCAAUGGGGGAAACCCUGACGCAGCAACGCCGCGUGGAGGAUGAAGCCCCUUGGGGUGUAAACUCCUUUCGAUCGGGACGAUAAUGACGGUACCGGAUGAAGAAGCACCGGCUAACUCUGUG
rnacentral:rRNA from 1 species